UGGAAAUGGUUUCCAAUAAAUUCCUUACAGUAGCCCAUUCAUCUUUAUUUCUACAGGUUGCAGAUUGUAAUGUUCAGCUUUUUUUAGUCUUGAUAUCGUUGGUACAGCAUCCUCUUGAGCUUUUGUUUGAUUCCAUGCCAGAACAGCUCCAGGUCUCUUUGCAAGAUUAUUCCACUGUAGACGAAAAACUAUCAUGUUUCCACCUUGGCCAUAAAGGUUUUGCUGCUUGAACUCUUUCCUGGACAAACUGACCAACCUGUGGUGUCCAAGCUCAUAAAAGAUUUUAUCUCCCUUGAGACUGCAGCAUGCUAAGAUGCAAUUAACACAAUGAAAUCAGACACUCAAUGAAAUGGAUUACCUGAAGUUGCACUUCUGCCUUGCUCUCCUUUCUGCCCUAUGUUACCUUGUUCACCCUUAUCUCCAGGUGGACCAAGUUUUCCUGGUGGACCUUGAAUUCCCCUGGUUCCUUGGACCCCUGUAAAAAGUCAGGAAUAGUGAGAUACAUCCAGCAUUGUUAUAUUACCUGCAAUGUAGGUUGCACCAAAACAACCAAUUUUUGCUUUCCAAAGUUCUUUAGAGUCAGCCAACCAUAAUGUUUAGAAUCCAAACCCUAAUACAAAAAAAAAUUACAGCAGAUUAUGGUCCUUCAAACAAUUCACCAGACACCCUGUUAGGGACCAAAUUAAGCUUAUGGGACUCAUAACAAUAAGUAAAGCCAGGCAUUUUAAUUUGAAGAAAAAUAAAUAUAUGGCCAACUGCAUUUAUAAGACAGUUUAUAAGACUUUAUUGAUUUCAAUCAAAUGAUCAUAAAGGAACUAGUGAAGUUAGACUUGUGAGGCCAGUAAAACUGGAGAGUCAUCUUAAUGUAUGAAGCCACACUUUGUUCUUGUCCUUAUUCUCAAAAUACGCUUAAAUAAGUCUCUUGUAUGUAGCCUUAUCAUGAAUAUAAUGGCAAGUUUUAUAUUGAAUACUGGUGAAUUCUAGUGUAUUGAUAUUUUAUAUUUGCCAGUGGUUCUGCUUUUUGAUCUGUAAGUCAAGUUUGGUUAAAAAAAAACAGUUUACAAAAUAUUACAGAGAAACAGAUGAUUUAGCAUUUGCGUAAGCUCAUACCUCUCUCAUUUACCGUUUAUUUAGUGGAAUGUACAUACAUUUUUGGGAUUGUCAGCUCAAAUCCUAUUUUAUGAUGCAUUUGAUUACAUGCAAGUGAGCCCCGGAUGACUCAUUUGCUUGUCAUCAAAUGAUAUAUUUUCUGUAUUAAGUGGUUGGUUUCUCUCUUUCCACUAACCAUAGGUGUAAUAAAGUAUCUUGCACCUAACCAUAAUAAGUUGUAUGCUGCAACAACUAUUACACUUCAAAGAUUAACAAAAGGAAAUAAUCAUCAUUCUGUCAAUAGUGAGAAGAAUAUGUUGCUUAAUGAAUUAUUGUUAAGAAUUUGUUUUACUUCUGAAAUCAAAUAUUGAUGCAUUAAGUUGUUUGCAUUAUUUUACUUUGUGCCAUAAUAAAGGCUGAGAAUAAAUUACUAUUAGAUUAUA